AUUUGGUGAUGUGGACAGCGUGCACAAAGUUUUUUAAAGCACUCUCAGUAUUCAUAUAAAGACUCUCCACUAUGCUGCCUAAUCCUAUAGAUUUCUUUCCCUAUGCU